rnacentral:misc_RNA from 1 species
GGAACAAUUCGCUUUUGGUUUUCGAGAUGCACACAACAGGCGAAGAAAGUCGAUAUAUGCCUUUGCAAUUUUAAUUUUGCGUCGCAUGCAAUAAGCCUGAGGGUAUAUUGACAGGGUAUAUAGACAACGUGAGUCCGAGAGCGGCCGGCCUCCCCGCGCGGCGCACCGGUGCAGUGGGAUGCUGAUGCGCGUCGUGUACAAGGCAUUCGGCUGGCUCCAGAGGUUCGGGAUGCAGGGCCAGCUGACGCCCCUGCCGGGGGUUACCGCGCUCUCUGACACGGUGACCCGCGUGCUGGGCUGCAACCCCAGUCCGAUGACGCUGCAGGGCACCAACACCUACCUGGUCGGCACCGGAAAACGCCGCGUUCUGGUGGACACGGGCAGCAGCGGCGUACCCGAGUACGUGGACCGGCUGGAGGGCGUGCUCCGAGAGGCCGACGUUCAGCUCCAAGAGAUCGUCAUCACCCACUGGCACUCGGACCACGUGGGCGGCCUGGCCGACCUGCGGCGGCGGCUCGGAGACAUUCCGGCGAGGAAGUUUCCGCGUCCGGAGGCGGCGGACGCGCCGGGCGUGGAGCCGCUGAAUGACGGGGAGGUGAUCACUACAGAGGGGGCCACUCUGAGAGUGGUUCACACGCCCGGUCACACCACUGACCACGUGGUGCUGCACAUGUCCGAGGGAAACGUCAUCUUCAGCGGCGACUGUAUCCUGGGCGAGACGACGGCCGUGUUCGAGGACCUGGCCGACUACAUGGCCUCGCUGGAACUGCUGCUGCAGCUGCGGCCCAGCGCCAUCUACCCGGGACACGGGCCCGUCGUACAGAACCCGAUCGAGAAGAUUCAGUUCUACAUGGACCACCGCAGGGAGCGAGAACAGCAGAUCCUGGCGGCGCUGAGGAACGCCGAGUCGGCCAGCUGUACAGUCACCGACAUAGUCACCGCAGUCUACACGGAUAUCCCGGUGUACAUGCGCCGGCCGGCCUCUGUGAACGUGGAGCACCACCUGUCCAAGCUGGUGAAGGAAGGCCUGGUGGCGGAGGAGCACGGCAGCUACUCCCUGCGCGAGCGGCACGGCCCGUCCGACCAGCAGCGGUAGGGACGGGUGGGCCGCCGCCGCACAGGGCGUGGAGGGAUGGGGGGCUGCGGCUGGUGUUUUAUAUGUGACUGGUGAGACUAAUGAAGGAGAACUUAUGAACCGAUGUUCGGGAUAAACGACAGGGUAGAUAUACCUACUCCUGAACAUGGUUGAUAGAUAACUAGACACGGUAGAUAACUCGAUCAAGAGUUGAGAGACUGGUUGUAUGCAUACUGCAAAGAUAUCUUAUAUAGCGAUCUAUAGAACAGGAAUUAGGAACCAUAUGGUUGCAUUUGCCGAAGCGCAACCGAACGUCCGCCGUUUCCACUGUUUUUCUUCCGGGUUCCAUCGUGAAACAGUGCCGCUGUGAUCCAAUUCUAAUGUAUAUUUAUAUGCACGUAAAUACAUAAUAAUUAAGACACUAUAUAUCGAUGCAGAUCAAAGUUAGGGAAAACUUCGGUGUCAAUUAGGGCUUUGUACUGAUUGCAGCCUUACGUCCGGUUGCUGUUAGUAUAUGAUCUAUGUAUUUCGCUAAAUGAUGUGAACUAUAUGUUCCCAUCUCAAUCAGUACUAAAAGUGAUGAAUCGCGCGGUAAAAUAUUAAAAAUAUAUCAUAGUUAUGGCA